GCCUACUGUUUAAUUUUGAGGGUUCGUUUUUACGAAUACUCAAAAUUAGCACUUUAAGCAACGGGAUUUAUCCGUUGGCGCUGUGCUUUAGCACUUUGAAAACUGCAUAUAUAUUUAGUGAUAUGACAUCUAAUUUGUAAUAUAUAAAGCUGAUAACUUUUUAAAAUUAUCGAAGUUGAUAGCUUCUAAUCUAUCAAACCUUUUUAACUGGUCAA
rnacentral:misc_RNA from 1 species